CGUGCAUCCCCUGCUCAGGCUAACAUGGUCGCGCCUUUCACCGGCCUCAAGUCCAUCGCAUCAUUCCCCGUCACCCGAAAGCUUGAGAAUGACAUUACCUCUAUUACCAGCAACGGAGGAAGAGUUCAAUGCAUGAAGGUAUAUAUCUAUACUACUUAAUACUCAGAUAUAUUAUGUGCUAAUGAGGAACCAGUAUAACAUGGCAGAACAUUUCUUAGUUAGUUAUUGCUCAUUUGCUCUCAAAGUAGCACAAUUCUAAGUCAGAUAAAGCAGUCCUAGGUAACUUUAGAGUGAGUAACUUCAGAAUUUUCCUUGAAUAUGUCAAUAAUAUACAAAAAUUAUGUCAACACCUCGAUUAAAAGAUUGUUUUGCUUGUAUUUUCCUCCUGAGCUGAUCUGAGAAAUUUUGUUCUCAAGUCAAACAAUUAGAGACUUUAGCUCAAGAGAAAUGUCACCCCCUGGCAUUGUAGCCUGCGGGAUGUCCUCUAUAUUUUACCAUAGUAACCAUGUCGCCCCUCAAGUGAAGUAGAAUUUAAUUCAAUAAUGAAAUUGAACUACCCAGUAGAGGAAAUUUCUAGUUUUUUUGUAUAAUUUCCACCUUAGCUUGCUCUUAGUAACCCCCCUCAGUCUCAUUAAAUAGUCGGAAAUGUAUAUUCUUAUGAAGACAUGAUCACGUUCUUCAAAUUUUGCAAUCCAACACUGUUUCUAGACAAAUAUACAAUCUGUCGGUUUGUAAUUGAGUAAAUAUGACAUUCACAAAAUAUAUCAAGGAGAACACACCUUGGUUCUGAAAGUGAAUGAUAAAUUAGUUAGGUAACAUAUGUGAAUGGUGCAAGUGCAGGUAUGGCCACCAAUUAACAUGAAGAAGUUCGAGACACUCUCAUACCUUCCUCCUCUCACCACCGAACAAUUGGCAAAGGAGGUCGACUACCUUCUCCGUUCCGGAUGGGUUCCUUGUCUGGAAUUCGAGUUGGAGGUAAGCACUUUCUUCCUACACAUUUUUCAUGUUCUCUGUUACAUGUUUCUUGACAUUGCUGAUGACAAUUGUGUGUUAAACCAAUAUGCAGCACGGUUUCGUGUACCGUGAGCACAACAAAUCUCCCGGAUACUAUGACGGACGAUACUGGGUUAUGUGGAAGCUUCCCAUGUUCGGGUGCACCGACUCAUCGCAGGUGUUGAAGGAGCUUGAUGAGUGCGUCAAGGAGUACCCCCAGGCGUACGUCCGUAUCAUCGGAUUCGACAACGUUCGCCAAGUCCAGUGCAUCAGUUUCAUUGCUCACCAGCCAGAAUGCUGAUCAAUCUGUCUGUUGAUUUCAUAUAUUUAUCAAUCUUGUUCGGCUCAUAUAUAAACUUCUUGCAAUCUCAUUUCAUUUCUUUCCGUUUUAAAUUUCUUACUUGUAUCUCCAACACAAGGAAAUUGGAACUAUAGAGGAUUAUAUGUAGCGAUUGUUGGUGAUUAUAUAUAUCUACUUGUUUGUUUUCCCUGCACCUUCUAAAUACUUGCAUCAUAUGCUUUCAUGUCGUGAUGUACUUUUUUAUAUAUCUCCGAUUCUCCAUGCAGUAAUUAACCACUACGGUCUUUUUACACCAACAAAUUAUAUGAUAACAUAUAGAAACAGUUCAUUGCUUCCGUAAUAUCUGCCUUGGUACAUGUUCUCUUGUAUCACUACAAAACCUUUCACGUCCAACAAUGUGAAAGCAAAUUCUCUGUAAUAGAAAUGGACAUCUGCUAGCGACAUUUCAGAUAAUAAUAAAGUGUACUUAUGCACCAUCUGGUUGGAAGGAAUGAACGGGAAAAACAUGAACAAAAUCAAAGGUAAACGAGAAGUAUACAAGAGUGAAGAGUGAUGAAGAACUAGAAAGUGCAGACUUUAUUAUGAGUUUCACAAUAUAAUGAGUAAAAUAUAGGAAUGAUCAUUUAUCCCUAUAUUGGUAAGAUUGAGAUAUUAGUUUUUUUUUGUGUGCCAAACUAGUACAAAUUUCAUUUCAUUCUCCCUAAACGUAAUUCUUCCAACAAAAUGGGGCAUUACAUAAAGGUAUAAAGAUGAGGAGAUUAAAGAUUGACAGCUGCGAUAAGGGAAGGUAUGGAAAACAUGUGUAACUAUAUAAAUGUCGAACACCAAUAAGAUCCAAAUAACUCAGAUAACAUCCAAACUCAGUAACAAAUUGGUUAACAGAUAAAAUUCAGAAGCGAAUGCAAAAUAGUUUAUAAAAUUAGAUUCUAAGAUUCAAAAUUUCUAGUAUUCAGAUUAUAUGCAGAUGAAAGAGGAAGGGAGAUUUAUUGAAUAAUUUAGGCUUGACAAAACACAAUAAAAUGAUACACAUAGACUAGUAUACUCUAAUACUUAAUGAGCAGCAUAUAUUCUUAUUCUUAACUACCGUCUAUUCUAUUAUAUCAAAGAAACAUAAAUUAUUGCAAAGCUGUAAAUUCACAUUAAGAAGCUUAAACAAAUUACACAACUAGAAAUCAACCACUCAAAUUGGAUAUAAUUGGAUAAAUAUCUAAAGAGAUCAUAACUAAGAACCCUAAUUUCAAAGUUAUAAAUGUAUGUAUAUAAAUGAUUCAAAAAUCAGAACUCUGUAACACAAAAAAGCUAGCUGAACUGAGAUGAAGUAGAAAGCAGCAACAAAACAUUUAUGAAUUAAAUAUCUAAAGCUGAUCUAAUUACAAACAUCAACUCACAGUUAUCAAGAGGGGUGUAUUGGAUUGGGAUUUUAAAUCAUUUUUUUGCAUUCAUGAAAUCCGAGGGUAUUCGAUUGAGAUUAUUUGAAAUGCAUUAAAAUCUUGGGGUAUUCAAUUGGGAUUUUGAAUUAUGCUACAAAAUCUGGUGGUAUUCAAUUGGGAUUUUAAAUUAUGCUUUAAAAUCCGGUGGUAUUCAAUUCGGAUUGUUUAAAAUCCAUUAAAAUCUGAUGGUAUUCAAAUGUUGUCGGAUUUUUUUUCAUUUCAUAAAAUGGUGGAUUUUGUGGCAUUGUUCGAUGUAUUUUAAGUUUUAUGAAAUCCCACCAAAAUCAAUGGGAUUUUGAAGCAUUGUGCUUAAAUCCUAUCAACUCUGCGACAUUUCAUCAAGAAUCCGCACAAAAUCAAAAUCACAUGCAAUCCAUUAAAAUCCAUAGACUAAAAACAAUCCAUUAAAAUCUCAAUCGAAUACACCCCCGCAAUUUAUUAAUCAGAUGAGAGGAAGGAAGGGAGAGGGUCAGAGGGAGAGGGAGAGGGAGAGAGAGAGAGAGAGAGGAGUUACAGUGCUACGGCGACGUUCAGCGGCGAUGGAGAAGCCAAAAGCGACCAAGCAUAGUAUUAUUACAAGAAGAUGAACGAGAGAUGAGCCUUUCCCUGCCCCCAUUAUUGUUUCUAAGGGCAUCUUUGAUCACAAUUUCAAGCUUCAUAUUUUUUUCACUUUUAAUUUUAUAGAUAGAUUAAUCAAUCUCCAAUCAUCCAUUUAUCUUCCUAUGUAAAGUCAUUUACUAGAUAAAUUAUAUUAUUUUAUAAAAAAAAAUUAAAUAACGAAAUAUAUGAUCUUUCUCGGAUGAAGAUAACUUGCAAAUUUAAUGGUAUAGUUUAGAAAUUGGGGUUGAGAAGUACCAGUAGUUAUGCUAUAUUUACCUGAUGAUCUCGUAUCGUAACUUUUUUUACACGUGGGAUUUUUUUGCUUACAGCUCAUACUCUAUAACACACUUCCGCCAUUUCACAUGUGACUUCAUCUUUUGACCAGGGUUCUGUAAAUAGAAUUUUGAGCAAGAUCCCCUUAAUACAUAACUGAAUAAACAACACUCGUAGAGAUGAAUUCUGCUGGCGGAACUAGGGAAGAAACCCUAGCUUAGUCAAAGUUUUUUUUUUCUUCCAGAUAUUUGUUUUUUUUCAGAUAUUUUUUUAUUUGAGCUCUUAAAAAUAACAGUGAACCAAUAAAAAGUAUUUAUUGUGCAAAUUUUAAUUCUAGAUUAUUUUGAUUCAUGUCAUAUUGUCAUUGACUAACAGGCCAAAGUCAUUUUGUUAAUGGGCUCUAUUUUCUUGACCAAAAUCAUACUGUUUCCCCUACUAUUAUCCUGAGCCCAUGUUUUCAAAUUUCAAUUACGCCCAACCACCAGUCCAGAGUAGUUGUUGUUGGGCCACAAGGUAACCAUCCAAUGUCUAAACUAAUCAUAGUCCAAAUAAAAUUUUUUCAUAAAAACUGCGUGUACGUGAAUCCAGGGCAGAGGACUGAACAUGACUCCACUUGAGUUGAGCAAGAAAACCGCAAUCAUAUAUCUUUGAUUUUUAAAAUUGAAAACCGCAACCGUCAAUCGGGGUCGGUUUCGGUUUCGGUUUAAGAAACUUCGAUUCGGUUAAUAGUCGGCUCGGUUUCGAUUACAAAAUCGACAAAUAUAAGAAUGAAAAAUAGUACACAAACGAGACAAAUUAAUGCACGUAAUCUAGACAUAAUAAUUAAUAUAAUAUUAAAAUUUAACAAAAGUAACCGUAUUUUAUUUAAAACACUCUUGCCAGUAAUAUAAAACUAGUCUUAGUCAGAAUUUUCAUACAGAAUACGAAUCAGAACUUCCGGCUGAUUGGCUUUUUUAACACAUGCUUCAUGAAGAUUGAGAAAAUGUGACAGGGAAAAUAGGAAAUACAGAUUGGCAGUGGCCAGUCAGCAUGAGAUAUUCACUGAACAUCAAAUAUUAACAUAGACGGAUGUUUCUGUAAGUGUUAGAAUAGAUUUAUUAUAUUUAUUACAUAUUACAUAUAUUAUUUAUUAUUAUUUUAAUAACCGGUUCCGUUUGGUUUUUAUUGGUUCGGUUGGGAGGUAUAACCGGAACCAAACCGUUUAAAUCAGAUCAAUUUUUAAUUUUUCGGUUUCUAAUUGGUUUUUUUGAGUUUUUCCAAAUUUCGAUUCGUUUUGAUUUUAAAUCGGUUUUUUGCUAAGUCCUAAAUUAAGGUAUGGGUUCAAUUAUAGACAAGGUUAAGCUUACUUUUUAAAAAGUCUAACAUCACAAGUAAAUGGUUCACAAGUAAAUGGUCUUAAAACUAUAAAGAAACCAGGAUUGAAGCUCAAAAAUUAUCACCACUACACCCUUUUUUCGUGGUGCAACAAAUUUGGCCUAAAUCAAACGCAAAUCAAACGCAUUUAUACAAGACAAAUGACAGUCUUAAUAUAGGAUUACCCCAUUUUGGUUCAACCAUGAACACUGUUUGAACUAUGCGAUAGUUUCUUUACUAAAAUAUACUUCAGACUCUGGAACUGGAAGGACUAUGGGCCACUUAAAUGCAGCAUAUAUCUUGCAAUUUGAGCUCGAUAAUGGCAAAUUCCAAAUGCAAUCUAUCCACACAUUACACUCAAGUGCGAAAGAAUGAUCCAUGUAUUUUAAGGGUUUUGGUUCCUGGCAUGUGUACAUCAGGGAGUACUUAUAUAACAUACUGAUUUUGGAUCGUUGGAUGAUAUAUGCAUCUAACGGACAUAAUUAUAAAAAAAAUUCGUCAUGCUCAAUUUUUUUUUAUUUGUUUUUUUGCAUAUGAUAUGUAACUUGAAUAAUAAGAGGAAGGGGGAAAGUGAUGCAACUGCAAUUGAAGAAGUCAGUAGUCACUUAUUUAAAUUUCAAAGUACAAAGCCCAAAUAAGCAAUUUCCAAAGAGCUAAGCAAUGAAGGGCCAAGAAAUGGCUAGCUACUGCUAAAGAAAGCAAGUCCUCAUUCCUUGAUCAGAAGAGAUAAGGCAACCGCUCUCAUGCCACGUGUCAACUCAAUAAGAGUGUUUAAUGAUAAGGCAACCAAUCCAAAUUGCUCACACUGUGUGGCUACCAUGUUGCCUUGUCAACUUCACUGUAAUUCAAUGGUCAGAAAAAUUCUGAACUUUAGGAGGUGAAUUGGGAACCAUUGGAUCAGCAGGUUAAACGAUAAUGAGAUGAAAUGCCUAUAUAUUGGAUAGGUGAAGGAACAGAAGCAAGCCUCUCAAACACAAGAGAAGAAAGUAAAAGAACAAGAAGAGAGUAUUAGUACUCAUGGCUUCUUCAAUGAUAUCAUCAGUAGCACCGGUUACCCGUGCAUCCCCUGCUCAGGCUAACAUGGUCGCGCCUUUCACCGGCCUCAAGUCCAUCGCAUCAUUCCCCGUCACCCGAAAGCUUGAGAAUGACAUUACCUCUAUUACCAGCAACGGAGGAAGAGUUCAAUGCAUGAAGGUAUAUAUCUAUACUACUUAAUACUCAGAUAUAUUAUGUGCUAAUGAGGAACCAGUAUAACAUGGCAGAACAUUUCUUAGUUAGUUAUUGCUCAUUUGCUCUCAAAGUAGCACAAUUCUAAGUCAGAUAAAGCAGUCCUAGGUAACUUUAGAGUGAGUAACUUCAGAAUUUUCCUUGAAUAUGUCAAUAAUAUACAAAAAUUAUGUCAACACCUCGAUUAAAAGAUUGUUUUGCUUGUAUUUUCCUCCUGAGCUGAUCUGAGAAAUUUUGUUCUCAAGUCAAACAAUUAGAGACUUUAGCUCAAGAGAAAUGUCACCCCCUGGCAUUGUAGCCUGCGGGAUGUCCUCUAUAUUUUACCAUAGUAACCAUGUCGCCCCUCAAGUGAAGUAGAAUUUAAUUCAAUAAUGAAAUUGAACUACCCAGUAGAGGAAAUUUCUAGUUUUUUUGUAUAAUUUCCACCUUAGCUUGCUCUUAGUAACCCCCCUCAGUCUCAUUAAAUAGUCGGAAAUGUAUAUUCUUAUGAAGACAUGAUCACGUUCUUCAAAUUUUGCAAUCCAACACUGUUUCUAGACAAAUAUACAAUCUGUCGGUUUGUAAUUGAGUAAAUAUGACAUUCACAAAAUAUAUCAAGGAGAACACACCUUGGUUCUGAAAGUGAAUGAUAAAUUAGUUAGGUAACAUAUGUGAAUGGUGCAAGUGCAGGUAUGGCCACCAAUUAACAUGAAGAAGUUCGAGACACUCUCAUACCUUCCUCCUCUCACCACCGAACAAUUGGCAAAGGAGGUCGACUACCUUCUCCGUUCCGGAUGGGUUCCUCGUCUGGAAUUCGAGUUGGAGGUAAGCACUUUCUUCCUACAUAUUUUUCAUGUUCUCUGUUACAUGUUUCUUGACAUUGCUGAUGACAAUUGUGUGUUAAACCAAUAUGCAGCACGGUUUCGUGUACCGUGAGCACAACAAAUCUCCCGGAUACUAUGACGGACGAUACUGGGUUAUGUGGAAGCUUCCCAUGUUCGGGUGCACCGACUCAUCGCAGGUGUUGAAGGAGCUUGAUGAGUGCGUCAAGGAGUACCCCCAGGCGUACGUCCGUAUCAUCGGAUUCGACAACGUUCGCCAAGUCCAGUGCAUCAGUUUCAUUGCUCACCAGCCAGAAUGCUGAUCAAUCUGUCUGUUGAUUUCAUAUAUUUAUCAAUCUUGUUCGGCUCAUAUAUAAACUUCUUGCAAUCUCAUUUCAUUUCUUUCCGUUUUAAAUUUCUUACUUGUAUCUCCAACACAAGGAAAUUGGAACUAUAGAGGAUUAUAUGUAGCGAUUGUUGGUGAUUAUAUAUAUCUACUUGUUUGUUUUCCCUGCACCUUCUAAAUACUUGCAUCAUAUGCUUUCAUGUCGUGAUGUACUUUUUUAUAUAUCUCCGAUUCUCCAUGCAGUAAUUAACCACUACGGUCUUUUUACACCAACAAAUUAUAUGAUAACAUAUAGAAACAGUUCAUUGCUUCCGUAAUAUCUGCCUUGGUACAUGUUCUCUUGUAUCACUACAAAACCUUUCACGUCCAACAAUGUGAAAGCAAAUUCUCUGUAAUAGAAAUGGACAUCUGCUAGCGACAUUUCAGAUAAUAAUAAAGUGUACUUAUGCACCAUCUGGUUGGAAGGAAUGAACGGGAAAAACAUGAACAAAAUCAAAGGUAAACGAGAAGUAUACAAGAGUGAAGAGUGAUGAAGAACUAGAAAGUGCAGACUUUAUUAUGAGUUUCACAAUAUAAUGAGUAAAAUAUAGGAAUGAUCAUUUAUCCCUAUAUUGGUAAGAUUGAGAUAUUAGUUUUUUUUUGUGUGCCAAACUAGUACAAAUUUCAUUUCAUUCUCCCUAAACGUAAUUCUUCCAACAAAAUGGGGCAUUACAUAAAGGUAUAAAGAUGAGGAGAUUAAAGAUUGACAGCUGCGAUAAGGGAAGGUAUGGAAAACAUGUGUAACUAUAUAAAUGUCGAACACCAAUAAGAUCCAAAUAACUCAGAUAACAUCCAAACUCAGUAACAAAUUGGUUAACAGAUAAAAUUCAGAAGCGAAUGCAAAAUAGUUUAUAAAAUUAGAUUCUAAGAUUCAAAAUUUCUAGUAUUCAGAUUAUAUGCAGAUGAAAGAGGAAGGGAGAUUUAUUGAAUAAUUUAGGCUUGACAAAACACAAUAAAAUGAUACACAUAGACUAGUAUACUCUAAUACUUAAUGAGCAGCAUAUAUUCUUAUUCUUAACUACCGUCUAUUCUAUUAUAUCAAAGAAACAUAAAUUAUUGCAAAGCUGUAAAUUCACAUUAAGAAGCUUAAACAAAUUACACAACUAGAAAUCAACCACUCAAAUUGGAUAUAAUUGGAUAAAUAUCUAAAGAGAUCAUAACUAAGAACCCUAAUUUCAAAGUUAUAAAUGUAUGUAUAUAAAUGAUUCAAAAAUCAGAACUCUGUAACACAAAAAAGCUAGCUGAACUGAGAUGAAGUAGAAAGCAGCAACAAAACAUUUAUGAAUUAAAUAUCUAAAGCUGAUCUAAUUACAAACAUCAACUCACAGUUAUCAAGAGGGGUGUAUUGGAUUGGGAUUUUAAAUCAUUUUUUUGCAUUCAUGAAAUCCGAGGGUAUUCGAUUGAGAUUAUUUGAAAUGCAUUAAAAUCUUGGGGUAUUCAAUUGGGAUUUUGAAUUAUGCUACAAAAUCUGGUGGUAUUCAAUUGGGAUUUUAAAUUAUGCUUUAAAAUCCGGUGGUAUUCAAUUCGGAUUGUUUAAAAUCCAUUAAAAUCUGAUGGUAUUCAAAUGUUGUCGGAUUUUUUUUCAUUUCAUAAAAUGGUGGAUUUUGUGGCAUUGUUCGAUGUAUUUUAAGUUUUAUGAAAUCCCACCAAAAUCAAUGGGAUUUUGAAGCAUUGUGCUUAAAUCCUAUCAACUCUGCGACAUUUCAUCAAGAAUCCGCACAAAAUCAAAAACACAUGCAAUCCAUUAAAAUCCAUAGACUAAAAACAAUCCAUUAAAAUCUCAAUCGAAUACACCCCCGCAAUUUAUUAAUCAGAUGAGAGGAAGGAAGGGAGAGGGUCAGAGGGAGAGGGAGAGGGAGAGAGAGAGAGAGAGAGGAGUUACAGUGCUACGGCGACGUUCAGCGGCGAUGGAGAAGCCAAAAGCGACCAAGCAUAGUAUUAUUACAAGAAGAUGAACGAGAGAUGAGCCUUUCCCUGCCCCCAUUAUUGUUUCUAAGGGCAUCUUUGAUCACAAUUUCAAGCUUCAUAUUUUUUUCACUUUUAAUUUUAUAGAUAGAUUAAUCAAUCUCCAAUCAUCCAUUUAUCUUCCUAUGUAAAGUCAUUUACUAGAUAAAUUAUAUUAUUUUAUAAAAAAAAAUUAAAUAACGAAAUAUAUGAUCUUUCUCGGAUGAAGAUAACUUGCAAAUUUAAUGGUAUAGUUUAGAAAUUGGGGUUGAGAAGUACCAGUAGUUAUGCUAUAUUUACCUGAUGAUCUCGUAUCGUAACUUUUUUUACACGUGGGAUUUUUUUGCUUACAGCUCAUACUCUAUAACACACUUCCGCCAUUUCACAUGUGACUUCAUCUUUUGACCAGGGUUCUGUAAAUAGAAUUUUGAGCAAGAUCCCCUUAAUACAUAACUGAAUAAACAACACUCGUAGAGAUGAAUUCUGCUGGCGGAACUAGGGAAGAAACCCUAGCUUAGUCAAAGUUUUUUUUUUCUUCCAGAUAUUUGUUUUUUUUCAGAUAUUUUUUUAUUUGAGCUCUUAAAAAUAACAGUGAACCAAUAAAAAGUAUUUAUUGUGCAAAUUUUAAUUCUAGAUUAUUUUGAUUCAUGUCAUAUUGUCAUUGACUAACAGGCCAAAGUCAUUUUGUUAAUGGGCUCUAUUUUCUUGACCAAAAUCAUACUGUUUCCCCUACUAUUAUCCUGAGCCCAUGUUUUCAAAUUUCAAUUACGCCCAACCACCAGUCCAGAGUAGUUGUUGUUGGGCCACAAGGUAACCAUCCAAUGUCUAAACUAAUCAUAGUCCAAAUAAAAUUUUUUCAUAAAAACUGCGUGUACGUGAAUCCAGGGCAGAGGACUGAACAUGACUCCACUUGAGUUGAGCAAGAAAACCGCAAUCAUAUAUCUUUGAUUUUUAAAAUUGAAAACCGCAACCGUCAAUCGGGGUCGGUUUCGGUUUCGGUUUAAGAAACUUCGAUUCGGUUAAUAGUCGGCUCGGUUUCGAUUACAAAAUCGACAAAUAUAAGAAUGAAAAAUAGUACACAAACGAGACAAAUUAAUGCACGUAAUCUAGACAUAAUAAUUAAUAUAAUAUUAAAAUUUAACAAAAGUAACCGUAUUUUAUUUAAAACACUCUUGCCAGUAAUAUAAAACUAGUCUUAGUCAGAAUUUUCAUACAGAAUACGAAUCAGAACUUCCGGCUGAUUGGCUUUUUUAACACAUGCUUCAUGAAGAUUGAGAAAAUGUGACAGGGAAAAUAGGAAAUACAGAUUGGCAGUGGCCAGUCAGCAUGAGAUAUUCACUGAACAUCAAAUAUUAACAUAGACGGAUGUUUCUGUAAGUGUUAGAAUAGAUUUAUUAUAUUUAUUACAUAUUACAUAUAUUAUUUAUUAUUAUUUUAAUAACCGGUUCCGUUUGGUUUUUAUUGGUUCGGUUGGGAGGUAUAACCGGAACCAAACCGUUUAAAUCAGAUCAAUUUUUAAUUUUUCGGUUUCUAAUUGGUUUUUUUGAGUUUUUCCAAAUUUCGAUUCGUUUUGAUUUUAAAUCGGUUUUUUGCUAAGUCCUAAAUUAAGGUAUGGGUUCAAUUAUAGACAAGGUUAAGCUUACUUUUUAAAAAGUCUAACAUCACAAGUAAAUGGUUCACAAGUAAAUGGUCUUAAAACUAUAAAGAAACCAGGAUUGAAGCUCAAAAAUUAUCACCACUACACCCUUUUUUCGUGGUGCAACAAAUUUGGCCUAAAUCAAACGCAAAUCAAACGCAUUUAUACAAGACAAAUGACAGUCUUAAUAUAGGAUUACCCCAUUUUGGUUCAACCAUGAACACUGUUUGAACUAUGCGAUAGUUUCUUUACUAAAAUAUACUUCAGACUCUGGAACUGGAAGGACUAUGGGCCACUUAAAUGCAGCAUAUAUCUUGCAAUUUGAGCUCGAUAAUGGCAAAUUCCAAAUGCAAUCUAUCCACACAUUACACUCAAGUGCGAAAGAAUGAUCCAUGUAUUUUAAGGGUUUUGGUUCCUGGCAUGUGUACAUCAGGGAGUACUUAUAUAACAUACUGAUUUUGGAUCGUUGGAUGAUAUAUGCAUCUAACGGACAUAAUUAUAAAAAAAAUUCGUCAUGCUCAAUUUUUUUUUAUUUGUUUUUUUGCAUAUGAUAUGUAACUUGAAUAAUAAGAGGAAGGGGGAAAGUGAUGCAACUGCAAUUGAAGAAGUCAGUAGUCACUUAUUUAAAUUUCAAAGUACAAAGCCCAAAUAAGCAAUUUCCAAAGAGCUAAGCAAUGAAGGGCCAAGAAAUGGCUAGCUACUGCUAAAGAAAGCAAGUCCUCAUUCCUUGAUCAGAAGAGAUAAGGCAACCGCUCUCAUGCCACGUGUCAACUCAAUAAGAGUGUUUAAUGAUAAGGCAACCAAUCCAAAUUGCUCACACUGUGUGGCUACCAUGUUGCCUUGUCAACUUCACUGUAAUUCAAUGGUCAGAAAAAUUCUGAACUUUAGGAGGUGAAUUGGGAACCAUUGGAUCAGCAGGUUAAACGAUAAUGAGAUGAAAUGCCUAUAUAUUGGAUAGGUGAAGGAACAGAAGCAAGCCUCUCAAACACAAGAGAAGAAAGUAAAAGAACAAGAAGAGAGUAUUAGUACUCAUGGCUUCUUCAAUGAUAUCAUCAGUAGCACCGGUUACCCGUGCAUCCCCUGCUCAGGCUAACAUGGUCGCGCCUUUCACCGGCCUCAAGUCCAUCGCAUCAUUCCCCGUCACCCGAAAGCUUGAGAAUGACAUUACCUCUAUUACCAGCAACGGAGGAAGAGUUCAAUGCAUGAAGGUAUAUAUCUAUACUACUUAAUACUCAGAUAUAUUAUGUGCUAAUGAGGAACCAGUAUAACAUGGCAGAACAUUUCUUAGUGAGUUAUUGCUUUCAAAGUAGCACAAUUUUAAGUCAGAUAAAGUAGUCCUAGGUAACUUUAGAGUGAGCAUAACUUUGGAAUUUUCCUUGAAUAUGUAAAUAAUUUACAAAUAUUAUGUCAACACUUCAAAUAAAAGAUGGUUUUGCUUGUAUUUUCCUCCCGAUCUGAUCUGAGAAAUUUUGUUGUCAAGUCAAACAAUUAGAUACUUUAGCUCAAGAGAAAUGUCACUCCCUGGCAAUCCUGGGGGAUAACUUCUAUAUUUUACCAUAGUAACAGGAGUUUGAGAGUCCAAGAUUCGCAGAAAACAUGUGUGUGUCAAUGUGUGAAAGCCUAAUCAUGUCGCCCCUCAAGUGAAGUAGAUUUUAAUUCAAAAUAGAGAUGUGUGAGAACCUAAUCAUGUCCAAGUUUUUUGUAUGAUUUUCACCUUAGCUUGCUCUCAGUAACCCCUCUCUUAGUCUCAUUAAACAGUGACUCUGAAAUGUAUAUUCUUUUAAAGACAUGAUCACGUUCUUCAAAUUUUGCAAUCCAACACUUUUUGUCAAAAAAUAUACUACAAUCUGUCGGUUUCUAAUCGAGUAAAUAUGACAUUCACAAAGUAUAUCACUGAGAACACACCAUGGUGUGAGAGUGAAUAAGAAAUUAGUUAGCUAACAUAUGUGAAUGGUGCAAGCGCAGGUAUGGCCACCAAUUAACAUGAAGAAGUUCGAGACACUCUCGUACCUUCCUCCUCUCACCACCGAACAAUUGGCAAAGGAGGUCGACUACCUUCUCCGUUCCGGAUGGGUUCCUUGUCUGGAAUUCGAGUUGGAGGUAACCACUUUCUUCCUACACAUUUUUCAUGUUCUCUGUUACAUGUUUCUUGACAUUGCUGAUGACAAUUGUGUGUUAAACCAAAAUGUAGCACGGUUUCGUGUACCGUGAGCACAACAAAUCCCCCGGAUACUAUG
rnacentral:lncRNA from 1 species